rnacentral:rRNA from 1 species
AUUGAACGCUGGCGGCAUGCCUUACGCAUGCAAGUCGAACGGCAGCACGGGUGCUUGCACCUGGUGGCGAGUGGCGAACGGGUGAGUAAUACAUCGGAACAUGUCCUGUAGUGGGGGAUAGCCCGGCGAAAGCCGGAUUAAUACCGCAUACGAUCUACGGAUGAAAGCGGGGGACCUUCGGGCCUCGCGCUAUAGGGUUGGCCGAUGGCUGAUUAGCUAGUUGGUGGGGUAAAGGCCUACCAAGGCGACGAUCAGUAGCUGGUCUGAGAGGACGACCAGUCACACUGGGACUGAGACACGGCCCAGACUCCUACGGGAGGCAGCAGUGGGGAAUUUUGGACAAUGGGCGAAAGCCUGAUCCAGCAAUGCCGCGUGUGUGAAGAAGGCCUUCGGGUUGUAAAGCACUUUUGUCCGGAAAGAAAUCCUUGGCCCUAAUACGGUCGGGGGAUGACGGUACCGGAAGAAUAAGCACCGGCUAACUACGUG